UGGGGAAUAUUGCACAAUGGGCGCAAGCCUGAUGCAGCCAUGCCGCGUGUGUGAAGAAGGCCUUCGGGUUGUAAAGCACUUUCAGCGAGGAGGAAGGGUUCAGUGUUAAUAGCACUGUUCAUUGACGUUACUCGCAGAAGAAGCACCGGCUAACUCCGUGCCAGCAGCCGCGGUAAUACGGAGGGUGCAAGCGUUAAUCGGAAUUACUGGGCGUAAAGCGCACGCAGGCGGUUUGUUAAGUCAGAUGUGAAAUCCCCGCGCUUAACGUGGGAACUGCAUUUGAAACUGGCAAGCUAGAGUCUUGUGAGAGGGGGGAUAGAAUUCCAGGUGUAGCGGUGAAAUGCGUAGAGAUCUGGAGGAAUACCGGUGGCGAAGGCGGCCCCCUGGACAAAGACUGACGCUCAGGUGCGAAAGCGU
rnacentral:rRNA from 1 species